AGUGAACGCUGGCGGUAGGCCUAACACAUGCAAGUCGAACGGCAGCACAGUAAGAGCUUGCUCUUACGGGUGGCGAGUGGCGGACGGGUGAGGAAUACAUCGGAAUCUACUUUUUCGUGGGGGAUAACGUAGGGAAACUUACGCUAAUACCGCAUACGACCUACGGGUGAAAGCAGGGGAUCUUCGGACCUUGCGCGAUUGAAUGAGCCGAUGUCGGAUUAGCUAGUUGGCGGGGUAAAGGCCCACCAAGGCGACGAUCCGUAGCUGGUCUGAGAGGAUGAUCAGCCACACUGGAACUGAGACACGGUCCAGACUCCUACGGGAGGCAGCAGUGGGGAAUAUUGGACAAUGGGCGCAAGCCCGAUCCAGCCAUACCGCGUGAGUGAAGAAGGCCUUCGGGUUGUAAAGCCCUUUUGUUGGGAAAGAAAAGCAGCAGGUUAAUACCCCGCUGUUCUGACGGUACCCAAAGAAUAAGCACCGGCUAACUUCGUG
rnacentral:rRNA from 1 species